CUACGGGUUGCUGCAGUUAAGAAUCUUGCGCAAUGGGCGAAAGCCUGACGCAGCGACGCCGCGUGGACGAUGAAGGCCCUAGGGUUGUAAAGUCCAUUAUGCAGGGAAGAAUAAGUUUCGGCUAAUAUCCGGAACGAUGACGGUACCUGCUGAAAGCCUCGGCUAACUACGUGCCAGCAGCCGCGGUAAUACGUAUGAGGUAAGCGUUGUUCGGAAUUAUUGGGCGUAAAGGGCGUGUAGGCGGGGAACUAAGUUAGAUGUGAAAGCCAUGGGCUCAACCCGUGAAUUGCAUCUAAUACUGGUUCUCUUGAGUUCGGGAGAGGAGAGCGGAAUUCCCGGUGUAGCGGUGAAAUGCGUAGAUAUCGGGAAGAACACCAGUGGCGAAGGCGGCUCUCUGGCCUAGAACUGACGCUAAGGCGCGAAAGCGUGGGGAGCGAACGGGAUUAGAUACCCCAGUAGUC
rnacentral:rRNA from 1 species